rnacentral:rRNA from 1 species
UACGGAGGGUGCAAGCGUUAUCCGGAUUCACUGGGUUUAAAGGGUGCGUAGGCGGAUAGGUAAGUCCGUGGUGAAAUCCUGCAGCUUAACUGCAGAACUGCCAUGGAUACUAUCUAUCUUGAAUGUCGUGGAGGUUAGCGGAAUAUGUCAUGUAGCGGUGAAAUGCUUAGAUAUGACAUAGAACACCCAUUGCGAAGGCAGCUAACUACGCGAUAAUUGACGCUGAUGCACGAAAGCGUGGGGAUCAAACAGG